CGGGGAGGAGUUGGACGCGACUGAACAAGGAGACGCUCCUGGGAGACGGGGCAGGGCGUGGAGGCUGGCCUCGGAGGUCUGGGUUCAAGGCUUGCCUCCGCCACAGUGACUGGUGCCUGGGAAAGUAACGAGGGUGACGACGCGCUGGGAGAGGAACGACAAAUCACAAUAAAGUCGCCAGGGCGCUCCCGCGCCCCUAACUCGGGCAAGGCCUCGGCCACGGACCCCACACCGUUACGGGCGCGGGCGGGCCGGGGGCACCCCGCUCCCCGCGGCCCCUUUGGGGUUUCUCGCCGAGGCUGCGUUUUCUCCCCAGCCCGCGUUACAGAGGAGGAAGCUGAGGUGCGUAAAACUAAGGGCCUCGCCCACGUCCCGCGGCGGGGAAGUGUCUGGGGCCACAUUCGAACGCGGGCCCCCGAGCCGCCCCGGGCCCAAGCCCGGCUUUCCGUGCGCCGUAGCGCCACCUAGCCGCCGCAGGAGAGAGAGUCACAGCAAACGAGGGAGGGGCGGGGAGGCGGAGGCCGAGUGUUGGCUCAGGCCGGAACUAAGCAGGAACGGGAGGAGGGGCGGCCGGUCCGGGCCAGCGUCCGGGCCGAGAGCGUCGGGUAGGAGGGGAAGGCGGGCGCAGGACAUCCUAGCCGCUGGAAGGGGGAGGCUCGGCCGCGCUUCUCCUUCCAGGGGCUUCGUGACCACGAGACGUCUGUGUCUCGUGCAUUCUUACGUAAACGCCGGCCGAGAGACAAUCACGGAAAUGGGCCUUGUAAAGGGCCCUGAAGGCCGAAAAAGGGUCGCGGCUGUUACUCAGCCCCGGCGGUGCCCCCCCCCCCCCCCGCCCCCACGGAGACAGAGCCAGAGUCAGGAGCGGCCAAGUCCGAAUCCCGCUUGGGACGCCUGCUAGUUACGUCCGGGGCGUAAUUUAUCCUCUGCGUCUCCUUUUCUCCGUCUGGGAAACGCUCUGAAAAAUAAUGCUUGGCGCCUAAUUGUUCCUGCGUGCCCUGCGGCUCUGCGUGACAGGAUUGUUGCUGUUACUGCCUUUCCUGAGGCUUCUCUCUUCUCGGGAAAAUAGCCGCUUAUCAUCCUUUAUUAUCUUUGGACGGCCAGCAUUCUGUCCAUUGUGCCGCCUCGCUGCGCCUAAGCAAUAUUCUUGCAUUAUUUUUUCAAGACUAUUAAACAUAUUGUGGCAGCCGUUUGUAGUGGCCAGAAGCUGGAAACUGAGGGGAUGCCCAUCAAUGGGAGAACGGUUGGGUAAAUUGUGGUAUAUGAAUGUUAUGGAAUAUUACUGCUCUGUAAGAAAUGACCAGCAGGAUGAAUACAAAGAGGAUUGGUGAAACUUACAUGAACUCCUGCUGAGUGAAAUGAGCAGGACCAGGAGAUCAUUAUAUACCUCAACAGCGAUACUGUAUGAGGAUGUGCUCUGAAGGAAGUGGAUUUCUUCCGCAAAGAGAAGAUCUAACUCAGUUCCAAUUGAUCAAGGAUGGACAGAAGCAGCUACUCCCAAAGAAAGAACACUGGGAAAUGAGUGUAAACUGUUUGCAUCUUUGUUUUUCCUCCCGGGUUAUUUAUACCUUCUGAAUCCAAUUCUCCCUGAGCAACAAGAGAACUGUUCGGUUCUGCACACAUAUACUGUAUCCAAGAUCUACUGUAAUCUAUUUAACAUGUAUAGGACUGCUUGCCAUCUGGGGGAGAG
ensembl:lncRNA